UUAACACAUGCAAGUCGAGCGGGCGUAGCAAUACGUCAGCGGCAGACGGGUGAGUAACGCGUGUGUCUGUACCUUUUGGUUCGGAACACCACAGGGAAACUUGGGCUAAACACGGAUAAGCCCUUACGGGGAAAGAUUUAUCGCCGAAAGAUCGGCCCGCGUCUGAUUAGCUAGUUGGUAGGGUAAUGGCCUACCAAGGCGACGAUCAGUAGCUGGUCUGAGAGGAUGAUCAGCCACAUUGGGACUGAGACACGGCCCAAACUCCUACGGGAGGCAGCAGUGGGGAAUAUUGGACAAUGGGCGCAAGCCUGAUCCAGCCAUGCCGCGUGAGUGAUGAAGGCCCUAGGGUUGUAAAGCUCUUUUGUGCGGGAAGAUAAUGACGGUACCGCAAGAAUAAGCCCCGGCUAACUUCGUGCCAGCAGCCGCGGUAAUACGAAGGGGGCUAGCGUUGCUCGGAAUCACUGGGCGUAAAGGGUGCGUAGGCGGGUCUUUAAGUCAGGGGUGAAAUCCUGGAGCUCAACUCCAGAACUGCCUUUGAUACUGAAGAUCUUGAGUCCGGGAGAGGUGAGUGGAACUGCGAGUGUAGAGGUGAAAUUCGUAGAUAUUCGCAAGAACACCAGUGGCGAAAGCGGCUCACUGGCCCGGUACUGACGCUGAGGCACGAAAGCGUGGGGAGCAAACAGGAUUAGAUACCCUGGUAGUCCACCCCGUAAACCAUGAAUGCCAGCCGUUAGUGGGUUUACUCACUAGUGGCGCAGCUAACGCCUAAAGCAUUCCGCCUGGGGAGUACGGUCGCAAGAUUAAAACUCAAAGUAAUUGACGGGGUCCCGCACCAGCGGUGCAGCAUGUGGUUCAAUUCGACGCAACGCGCAGGACCUUUCCAGCCCUUGACAUGUCCAG
rnacentral:rRNA from 1 species